GGGGGCCGUUUGUUUACGUUGAGCCACCGCAAAGAAGUCGCGUCUCGGACGCUCGACCGCCGCCUUGUGCAGGUUUUCCGCUUCAGUCGCCCUUCUUAUCCUGGAUAAUCUACCUCCCCACACCUAAGUUAUGAUUUGCGCUUCGAAGAAUUGCUACUGGCCGGAGAACCAAGAACCUCGUCUCCUCACCAUGCCGGCCGUUUGCGCUGCCUACGGCUGAACGAGCAUCGGCGGCCGAGGCGAUGUGCUCUUUCACAACUUCCAACAUGAGAAAAACAAUCUGCUCAGUGGAUCGCUGCUGUGAAAGGAGAUAAUUUCAAGCCUUCGAUUACCACUAUUCUCUGCUCAAAAUAUUUUCGGGACAGUGACUACUACCAUGUGCAAUGGGAUCUCCGGUGAAGUCUGCGCGACUAAGGCUUGGCGUCGUGCCGUCGAUGUUCGUUUACGAACGGAACGAAUCGCAGGCACCGAGAGCAGCAUUUCCGAAGCGGCGAAAACAUGAGAUUCUUGGACAGUUGCUCUCAGGAGACGUAACCAUCAGCAACACGCCAAGACCAAGUUGUAGCGAAAGAGGUCAUGAUGACAUUGCAGCAGAACCAGGAUAUCAGGCAGCGGUGGGCCUGGUUUGUGAGUUGGGACAAGCUUUAGAAACAUCACCAGAGCCAGCGUAUCAAGUGAACCAUGUUACAGAUAAAUCGGUUCAAGUGCGACUACCAACCAGGCACGAAGCAUCACAAGCAAAUGGAAGGAAAAUCCUGUCAACAAUUGCUCCACAGACAGAACCAUAUGCUGUUU